GGCAAGACACACACCGGCACCACGAACCAAGUCCAAGGCACGCCAGGCAAAAGAACACGCCGAGCACGCACACCCACACGCGAGUCCCUUUCCCUUCCCUUCCAGGCUGCCCGCCCGGCUGCCUGUUGUUAUCGUCGUCGUCGUCGCAUCCCCCACCCCACUCCGCGUGUCGAUCUGCUCCCCCCAAACCACACGGACGCACACACACGGACGCACGCACGAAUCAAUCAGGCACCACACCACCCCCUUCCCUGCGUCCCGGAGACAGAAAAGUCUCCUCCCAUCUCCGCCCUGGCCCCCUCUCAAACAUCCCCGCGGCGAUGGAUCUCCGUCUCGCCCACUAGCCCGCCAGCGCGACCGUGGGUGUGGGUGGGUACGGGGAUGGGACUCCUCGGGCGGAGGCCGUGGCUGCUGCUCCUCGCCCUCGCUUCCGCGGCCGUCGCCGUCGCCGUCGCCGUGGAAGCCUCCGAGGGCGACGCUGAUCCGCUCUACAGAGCCUGUGUGGAAGGAUGCCAAAAAACAGGCUCCCUGAAGGAGGCUUCUAUUAAACACUGUAUGGUGCCAACCGAUGGCCAGCCUGCUGACAAAUCGUGGUACGCGCACGAGCCGCUGUACUUGCAAUGGAAGGACUGGAACUGCAAGAGCGAAUGCAGAUACCACUGUAUGAUGGAAAGGGAGGGCGAAAGAGCAAAGCUUGGCCUUCAGCCUGUUAAGUAUCAUGGCAAAUGGCCUUUGAAACGCGCCUCUGUGUUUCAGGAGCCUUUAUCUGCAGCUCUCUCCGCUCUUACUCUCGUUGUGCAAUUUAAUGGGUGGCUAUCGUUCUUCCUCUUGCUUUAUUAUAAGCUUCCUCUACGGCCAGAAACUCACAAGACAUACUACGAAUACACUGGCCUGUGGCACAUCUAUGGGCUCCUUGCCAUGAAUUCAUGGUUCUGGAGUGCCAUAUAUCACAGUUGUGACACAAUUUGGACAGAAAAGCUAUAUUUUUCAUCAGCUGCUGCCUUUCUGGGGUACUCUCUCAUUUUGGCGAUACUGCGGACUUCAAGUUUAAGAGACGAAGCUUCUAGAGUCAUGGUUGCCGCUCCUAUUCUGGCAUUUGUGACAACCCACAUUCUGUACCUCAACUUCUAUGAGCUUGACAAAGGCCUAAACAUGAAGGUUUGUACUGUGAUAAGCAUUGCUCAGUGUCUCCUGUGGGCACUGUGGGCUGUCAUGAGUGGGCAUCGUUCGCGGCUCAAGAUCAUAUCUGUCGCCGUCGGAGGUGCGGUUGCAGUACUUGUGGAAGCCUACGACAUUCCACCGCGAUGGGGAUACGCAGAUGGCCGUGCUAUCUGCCUCGCUGUGGCUAUCCCCCUGUCGUACCUUUGGUGGAGCUUUGCCAAGGAGGAUGCUGAGAUGCGAACAUCAGCAAUCCUAAAGAAGACACGAUAACGAGGAAAUGCGACAUGCCGCCUGUGUGCACCCACCCAGCCAUUGUAAAGAUAAAAGUUUCACUUGUAAUCUUAGCAACUGAACACUUGGUAGGCUCGUGCUCAUCAACUGCAAUCUCAGAAGAUUGUUACCAUGCGUUAGUGAAUGGCCGCUUAUCAUAAUAAUGUCUGUGGGCGCUUUUGUUGGCUAUUUCUUGUGAGAUCCUGAGCAAAUUUGGUGUGCAAUUGUUGUAUAAAACAUGAAGAAAAAGAUGAAGUUGAAACGCAUCGCACGCUUAGUAGUGUUUGGUUCCGGAUUGUGGUAAGAAGUGUUUGGUUCUGGAUUGUGGUAGUA